UUUCCGUAGGUGAACCUGCGGAAGGAUCAUUAAUGAGUUGUCAUGGGGUUCUAUGCUGGCAGCCAAUUUUUGGAUGCAUGUGCUUGCCCUAACAAUCAUCUUCCAAACACCUGUGCACAUUUUUGAGGGAGUCUUGAGUUGGUUGCCGCUCUUGGGUGAUUUUCUCACAUUCCCUUAAAUCAUUAUACGCUAUUAACAAUGUUGAACGUGCUCUGUGCCGUAAGGCUAUUAAUAUAGUACAACUUUUAACAACGGAUCUCUUGGCUCUC
rnacentral:misc_RNA from 1 species